GUUAGGAAUUUUGCGCAAUGGGCGAAAGCCUGACGCAGCAACGCCGCGUGAGGGAAGAAGGCCUUCGGGUUGUAAACCUCUUUUAGCAGGGACGAACACAAUGACGGUACCUGCAGAAAAAGCACCGGCUAACUACGUGCCAGCAGCCGCGGUAAUACGUAGGGUGCAAGCGUUAUUCGGAUUUAUUGGGCGUAAAGCGCAUGCAGGCGGUUUGAUUAGUCUGGUGUGAAAGCCCUCGACUCAAUCGAGGAAGUGCAUUGGAUACUGUCAGACUAGAGUGCAGGAGGGGUGAGCGGAAUUCCGGGUGUAGAGGUGAAAUUCGUAGAUAUCCGGAGGAACAACAGCGGCGAAGGCGGCUCACUGGACUGUAACUGACGCUCAGAUGCGAUAGUGUGGGGAGCGAACAGGAUUAGAAACCCCUGUAGUCC
rnacentral:rRNA from 1 species